UAGUAGCUGAACUCUUUGCAGCCAAUGCACAAAUCUCUCUCACCUUUGCGUCGUCCGGUCUCCUCUUCCGGAAGCUGCCUCCGCCGCCGCUGCUGCCGCUGCCGUUGCUGGCCUCCGGCGCCAGCGGCGGCUCGCCGCCUAAGCUCCCGUAACACAUGCUUGCCAGGUCCUGCCACUCCUGGAGGUAGCCGAACAUGGCGCGGCACUUGUCGUCGUCGAGCAUGACGUCGUCGAGUAGCCCCUGGCAGAGGCUCUCGACGGUGUCAAGGUGACCCUUCCGGUGUCGUGAAACGUCGCCGCCGCCGCAUUGCGCCAUAUUACUAACCACUUAGCAAGAAGAGAAGACGAUCAAUUCUAGGAACAAAGCUAAGAUUUGGUUGGUUCUUCCUAUCCUUUGAUGCAAAUAGGUAGUAUGUGACCCUUUCAAGGUAAGCAACAGGAUGGUAGCUAAUGUGUAAGCUUAAGGGGAGGGUUCUUGUGCCUGAAGUUUGCGUGUCCCUUUCUCUCCCUCCCUCUUUUGCUCUUCAGGAAUUUUUUCCUAAUCCAUAUAUAUAGAGUGGACGAUAGGUGGAUAGAGAGGAGGAACCUUUCAUUGUGUAAUCGUACUUUUGGUAUGAGAUUGGAUUUGGCCCUUUAGGUAUGUUCAUGUGAGGUAGGGCUGGAUAAAGUAGUGCGGGUCCCUGUGUUUCAGCUGGCAUAUGCAUUGGCUAGAACGUCUCAUCAAUUGGCCCUCCUGUAAUCCACAAAUUAGCAAUUAUGCUCUUGCUUUCAUUUCCUCUACAAAAGAACAUAUAAAUGUGAGAAUCAAUGGGAUUGCUUUAGUUAUGGGCAUAUGAAUCAACACCAUAUCAGGCAAUAAGAUGUUGGCUCUUGAACCACUCCAUAUUAUUUACUCAUUAUAUACUGCAUCAUCCUUUUCAAUUUGCUUUUGAAUCAUAGUCAUAGCCAUUCUCAAGUAUCAACUUAAGUGAUGAUCAUGCUCCAUGCACUUAGCUAACCUUUUUCUAAAGGAAUAACAUGCACAAGGUUUUAUUUGUGCAUAUACUGAAAUAAGAGGUGGCUUCUGAACAUUUGCUGAUGCUGCAAAAGGACGAUUGGGGAGGUGACAGCUGCUCCAUUAACCUGUAUGGACAGCUCUAUCUUCUCUGCACUGACCCUUGUCCCACCACACCAUACUCGCCACGUGUACAUUUGCAUUAAGAAAUAAGAUGCUCAGAUUAGUGAUAACCCGUUGGCCAUAUUACUGAACAGAACCGGACUUUGCAUUCCAGUUCGUUAACACGAGUAUUCCUUAAUGAGCAGUGCACGUGAACAUCGGCUUAAUUUUUGUCCACUGACAAUCUCCUGGUGAUUGUCUGGAAGCAUGCAUUGCACCCCAUCUUGGUGUCUGUUGUCUAGCACAUUAUGGAAGCAGGAUAUUGAGGGGAACUGUUAGUUUAAGUAGAAGAGACUAUUUUCUUUUGAAGGGCAAGUAAUGCUGCUAUAGAUCAUGAUUAGAUGGAAUUGUGCAACAGUUAGUGGUUGUUCAAAGACAGGAGUGGAUUCGAAAAAACCUGGAGUGCUUCUGUUCGUUUUGCGGCUAGGCGGUUUUCAGUUUAGCAUUCAACUAUAUUAGCUCCCUGUCUAAUUAAUGAACGUUUGUGUGGAUCUGCUGAUGAUCUUAUUAAGCUGUUCCUGCAGUUUUAUGAUUUUUUUAGCAAACAAAUGCUCCAAAUAGUCGACGUCCACUUGACCAUUGCAACUAACUAAAUCUAUUAUAUUACUAUCGGUGUCCAUCAUGUAUGUAUGUCUUGCUUACAUAGAUCUGCACCUAUAUAUUAUGAGUAUAUAGUUGGCAUACACAGUUCAUUCGGCUCUUUAAAGUU
rnacentral:sRNA from 1 species